rnacentral:misc_RNA from 1 species
GGAUGACCCAGUUCGAAAACGCAUCAAACUUAUUAUUAUUUUUUAUUACUUUGAGUGUGUUUGUUUGAUUUUAAUCGAAUACUGAAAUAAAUUAAUGAAAUUUAAUUAUAUUAAUAAGAAAAUUCUUUUAUAAGCAGCCAUAAUAAUUCAAAAAGUGCCACAAACUAUAAGAAACUUUCAAAAUAGAAAAAUAAAAAUGUACACAAGGAGAACAAAUGAAACAAAAAAUCAAAAUAAGAGAAAAGUAGAGAAUGAAUUGCAGAGAAAGUAGAGAAUGAAUUGCAGAGAUACUUAAGGUUAAACAUUGAAU